CUCGCCUGAGACACGCCUGCCGUAGCUGGUCUGCGCCCUUUUGCCUCUGAGAACAGAGCAGUGGGUGAUGCUGGAGAGCAGUGAGGCAGAGGGAAGGGGUGCAGGAGUCGCCUCUCACCGUGUGUCCCGCUGGCUGGGUGAGCUGUUUGCUUGUGCUGCUGCAGCCAGCCCUGGGAUGGUGCAAACCUGCGGCUGCCAAUUGACGUCAGAGGAGCGCCGGUGGUUUGUGUGAGCUGAGGGACUGCUUCUGCUCAAGAGUGAUUCCUGCAGGGAGUGCUUGGAGGAGUCACUGCCUUGACUUCCAUGGACUUUGGAUCAGGCCUGUGCUCUCGGAUCACUCCAUACGUGCUGCUGCCAAUCCAUGGGGCCGGACCCUUUAAGACUGUCCAAAACAAACACUCUCCGGGUGAGAUCAGUGCACAGACCAUCACGUGAAAGCUCUGUGAUAACAACUGACUGCGUGUUUGCUUUCAUAUGGCAUUGAUCCUUAUUUCCCUGACUAUUUUUAGUCUUCAAGGUUGUCCCUUAAUCAACCCGCUUUCUUUAAUAGCUGGUGUUGCCCCUGCUGUGCUGCAGCAGGGCUAAUGAUGCUUUGUAUUAGGUGUGGGAAAUAUGAAUUAGUUUCUCAUCCAUUUCAGUGGCACAGGAAAUAUGAGUUAGUUUUUCAUCCAUUUCAGUGCCUUGAAUCAGAUCCUCAUACAGGCACUGAAAAAAAAAUCCAUCAGACUCCAUACCAGCCCCAAUCAACAUGUUCCUGUUAGUGGGGAAAGCCUUGCAGUAAGAUGUGCCAUGCUCAGACAAAGAAAAAUCAAACAAAUCUUUAUUCCUCUUCUACUCUACCUGCAUCUUCCCUCCAGGGCUGAGGAUCCGUCACCCCAGAACUAUCUGGGGAUGAGGAGUGGAGCCAGCCUGGCACUGAGCUCCAGCUGGAAUGAACCUUUCAAAUGGGCUCAGCUUCCCUCACGGAUGAGGAUGAGUCUGAGCCUUCAUACCCUGUGAUCCUACAUGCCCUGCAAGCCUCUCUUACUCAGUGCAGCACCUGAGCACAGAGGGGUCUCUGGUUGUUGUCUCCAGGUCCCAAAUUUUCCCUUUCAGGUGUAAUGUGGUGGCAUUAAGACCAGGGCCGGCUGUUCCCAUCACUCAGUAGCCACACUUGCCACUUAGGCUAAUGAAAUGCCCUUGUUUAUUAGCAGGCAGUUAUCCUAUGGGAUUUUCAAGCACUAGAUCUCUGUCAUUUUUUUAUAAUUUGCUGUAAGUAACAGCAUAAUCAGUGCCUGGAGAACUCAGGAAAAGUCUCAGGAGUCCGUUUGCAAAUCGUGCCUCCCCUGCCUUGGCUAAGCAGGAGCAACUCACACGAGCCCACAGACCCAGUGCCUUUUGUGGGGUCAGGGGAGGGUGUGCCAGGAAAGUCCUGCCUCACUGGAAAAUGGAGAAGCAAGAGAAGCACUGAAACCUGGGUGGGGUGACAGAAAAAUUCUAUUAGAAAUAAAGUGGAGAUGUACCUCCUGUUGAUUCAGAAUCACAGAA